rnacentral:rRNA from 1 species
AUUGAACGCUGGCGGUAUGCUUUACACAUGCAAGUCGAACGGUAGAGGGGCAACCCUUGAGAGUGGCGAACGGGUGAGUAAUACAUCGGAACGUGCCCAGUCGUGGGGGAUAACGUAGCGAAAGCUACGCUAAUACCGCAUACGACCUGAGGGUGAAAGCGGGGGACCUGCAAGGGCCUCGCGCGAUUGGAGCGGCCGAUGGCAGAUUAGGUAGUUGGUGAGGUAAAGGCUCACCAAGCCGACGAUCUGUAGCUGGUCUGAGAGGACGACCAGCCACACUGGGACUGAGACACGGCCCAGACUCCUACGGGAGGCAGCAGUGGGGAAUUUUGGACAAUGGGCGCAAGCCUGAUCCAGCCAUACCGCGUGCAGGAAGAAGGCCUUCGGGUUGUAAACUGCUUUUGUCAGGGAAGAAAUCUUCUGGGCUAAUACCCUGGGAGGAUGACGGUACCGUAAGAAUAAGCACCGGCUAACUACGUGCCAGCCGCCGCCGUAAGAC